UAAAGGGAGCUCCCAGAGUGUGGCUGCUUCCUCUGGGGGCAGCACUGACGCCUUCGCUGGCUGGCUGGUCAGGUCAGGAACUAAGUUUCAAUUUCAGGGUGGCAUUGCCUUCAGAGAUUCCUGUGCACAAUGCAGAUCAAUCAUCUGUCUUCUGGCACAGAGUGGAGCUGAGCAGAGUAGGUUGGGGGACUGCACCUAAACUGAAAGCCAUCAGAGAAGGAAACUUCCAGCGAUCAGAGCCACCAGUGCAGUGCAGGGAUCAAAGCAAUCAACGACCAUCAGGGGUCCAGUAAUCAAGCAACGAUCAACUCAAAUGGUGUUCGGGGACCCUUUAAAUAGCUGUAGUACCCAUGGCAGUCCAGGGGGGAGUAGAGAGAUUCUGGUAAACAAAAUGCAUAACAAGAGCUCAAGUUUAACAUUAGUUCCAAUGGCAUAUCAGUAAAAAAA